CAUGUCUUAGGCUCAUUCAUGAAAAUCAAAUGAAUUUGAUGCUUGUAUGGUACCACUAUUGCUUCUAUGCUUUACUUGAUCUAGUGGUAGCAUAUGACAUGUUUGUGGGCUUGCAAAUCCUAGUGUUUGAUCUAGAAUAUGAGCUAUAAGUGUUUAACUCAACAUGGUACAAGAUAACCCUUAUUUGGAGGUGUGAAGAAG
rnacentral:lncRNA from 1 species